UACGUAGGGUGCAAGCGUUAAUCGGAAUUACUGGGCGUAAAGCGUGCGUAGUCGGUUAUCUAAGUCGGGUGUGAAGUCCCCGGGCUCAACCUGGGAAUUGCAUUCGAUACUGGAUAGCUAGAGUUCGGCAGAGGGAAGCGGAAUUUCGGGUGUAGCGGUGAAAUGCGUAGAUAUCCGAAGGAACAUCAGUGGCGAAAGCGGCUUCCUGGACCAGAACUGACGAUCAGGCACGAAAGCGUGGGGAGCAAACAGG
rnacentral:rRNA from 1 species